rnacentral:rRNA from 1 species
UACAGAGGGUGCGAGCGUUAAUCGGAAUUACUGGGCGUAAAGCGUGCGUAGACGGUUUCGUAAGUCGGGUGUGAAAGCCCCGGGCUCAACCUGGGAAUUGCAUUCGAGACUGCGUAGCUAGGGUGCGGAAGAGGGAAGCGGAAUUUCCGGUGUAGCGGUGAAAUGCGUAGAUAUCAGGAGGAACACCUGCGGUGUAGACAGCUUUCUGGACCAUCACUGACGCUGAGACACGAAAGCGUGGGUAGCAAACAGG